rnacentral:rRNA from 1 species
GACGAACGCUGGCGGCGUGCUUAACACAUGCAAGUCACGGGGGGCCCGCAAGGGUCAACCGGCGAACGGGUGCGUAACACGUGAGCGACCUGCCCAAUUGCGGGGGAUAGCCGGCCCAACGGCCGGGUAAUACCGCAUACGCUUCCCUGGGGGCAUUCUUGGGGAAGGAAACCUACGGGGCGAUUGGAGGGGCUCGCGGCCUAUCAGCUAGUUGGCGAGGUAACGGCUCACCAAGGCGAUGACGGGUAGCUGGUCUGAGAGGAUGGCCAGCCACAUUGGGACUGAGAGACGGCCCAGACUCCUACGGGAGGCAGCAGUGGGGAAUCUUGCGCAAUGGCCGAAAGGCUGACGGCAGCGACGCCGCGU